rnacentral:rRNA from 1 species
GAUGAACGCUGACAGAAUGCUUAACACAUGCAAGUCAACUGUGGCGGACGGGUGAGUAACGCGUAAAGAACUUGCCUCCCAGCUAGGGACAACAUUUGGAAACGAAUGCUAAUACCUGAUACUGUGAGAGAGCUUUGUGUCCCAUUAGCUAGUUGGAGAGGUACCGGCUCACCAAGGCGAUGAUGGGUAGCCGGCCUGAGAGGGUGAUCGGCCAAAAGGGGACUGAGACACAGCCCUUACUCCUACGGGAGGCAGCAGUGAGGAAUCUUGGACAAUGGACCAAAGUCUGAGCGAGAAAUUCUGGGUGCACGAUGAAGUUUUCGGAAUGUAAAGAGCUUUGAGUUGGGAAGCGGUACCAGCAGAAGAAGUGACGGCUAAAUACGUGCCAGCAGCCGCGGUAAUAC